rnacentral:rRNA from 1 species
CCAACAGGGAUUGCCUCAGUAACGGCGAGUGAAGCGGCAACAGCUCAAAUUUGAAAUCUGGCCCCCCGGCCCGAGUUGUAAUUUGCAGAGGAUGCUUCUGGCGCGGUGCCUUCCAAGUCCCCUGGAACGGGGCGCCAUAGAGGGUGAGAGCCCCGUCGGGUCGGCCGCCAAGCCUGUGUGAAGCUCCUUCGACGAGUCGAGUAGUUUGGGAAUGCUGCUCUAAAUGGGAGGUAGACCCCUUCUAAAGCUAAAUACCGGCCAGAGACCGAUAGCGCACAAGUAGAGUGAUCGAAAGAUGAAAAGCACUUUGAAAAGAGGGUUAAACAGUACGUGAAAUUGUUGAAAGGGAAGCGCUUGUGACCAGACGUGCGCCGGGUGUUCAGCGGGCGUUUUCGCCCGUGCAUUCGCCCCGGCGCAGGCCAGCGUCGGUUUGGGCGGGGGGACAAAGGUGCCAGGAACGUAGCUCCCCCGGGAGUGUUAUAGCCUGGUGCGUCAUGCCCCCGCCUGGACCGAGGUUCGCGCUCCGCAAGGACGCUGGCGUAAUGGUCCCCAGCGGCCCGUCUUGAAACACGGACCAAGGAGUCGAGGUUUUACGCGAGUGUCUGGGUGUCAAACCCGCACGCGUAAUGAAAGUGAACGUAGGUGGGAGCUUCGGCGCACCACCGACCGAUCCUGAUGUUUUCGGAUGGAUUUGAGUAGGAGCGUAGGGCCUCGGACCCGAAAGAUGGUGAACUAUACUUGGAUAGGGUGAAGCCAGAGGAAACUCUGGUGGAGGCUCGCAGCGGUUCUGACGUGCAAAUCGAUCGUCAAAUCUGAGUAUGGGGGCGAAAGACUAAUCGAACCAU